CAGAAGAGCCCACCCCAGCCUUCCUGGCAGUUGCAUUGCCAUGGCUGUUGGCAGGUACCGUGAAGGCAUCCUGGGUAGCGUAUACACUCAUCACAGUAGCGCCCUUUAAAGCCCACUCUGCACCUGAUGCACAGGUUUCUCACAGAAUCCAUGCUCCUCGUCGCACCCUGGCAGGCAGAUAGCUGUAAAUGACGACAAACAGGAGAAGCAUUAAAACAAAAGAAGUGGACCGCUGUGUGAGGAAUAUGUUGCGAAAUCAUUAGCUGACAGAUUUGAAGAGGACA
rnacentral:lncRNA from 1 species